ACGCUGGCGGCGUGCCUAAUACAUGCAAGUCGAACGAGAGCGACCGGUGCUUGCACUGGUCAAUCUAGUGGCGAACGGGUGAGUAACACGUGGGUAACCUGCCCAUCAGAGGGGGAUAACAUUCGGAAACGGAUGCUAAAACCGCAUAGGUCCUUUAACCGCAUGGUUGAAGGAGGAAAAGAGGCGCAAGCUUCUGCUGAUGGAUGGACCCGCGGUGCAUUAGCUAGUUGGUGAGGUACGGCUCACCAAGGCCGUGAUGCAUAGCCGACCUGAGAGGGUGAUCGGCCACAUUGGGACUGAGACACGGCCCAAACUCCUACGGGAGGCAGCAGUAGGGAAUCUUCCGCAAUGGACGCAAGUCUGACGGAGCAACGCCGCGUGAGUGAAGAAGGUUUUCGGAUCGUAAAACUCUGUUGUUAGAGAAGAACAAGUGCUAGAGUAACUGUUAGCGCCUUGACGGUAUCUAACCAGAAAGCCACGGCUAACUACGUGCCAGCAGCCGCGGUAAUACGUAGGUGGCAAGCGUUGUCCGGAUUUAUUGGGCGUAAAGCGAGCGCAGGCGGUUCCUUAAGUCUGAUGUGAAAGCCCCCGGCUCAACCGGGGAGGGUCAUUGGAAACUGGGGAACUUGAGUGCAGAAGAGGAGAGUGGAAUUCCAUGUGUAGCGGUGAAAUGCGUAGAUAUAUGGAGGAACACCAGUGGCGAAGGCGACUCUCUGGUCUGUAACUGACGCUGAGGCUCGAAAGCGUGGGUAGCAAACAGGAUUAGAUACCCUGGUAGUCCACGCCGUAAACGAUGAGUGCUAAGUGUUGGAGGGUUUCCGCCCUUCAGUGCUGCAGUUAACGCAUUAAGCACUCCGCCUGGGGAGUACGACCGCAAGGUUGAAACUCAAAGGAAUUGACGGGGACCCGCACAAGC
rnacentral:rRNA from 1 species